GUGGGGAAUCUUGCGCAAUGGGCGAAAGCCUGACGCAGCCAUGCCGCGUGGAUGAUGAAGGUCUUAGGAUUGUAAAAUCCUUUCACCGGUGAAGAUAAUGACUGUAGCCGGAGAAGAAGCCCCGGCUAACUUCGUGCUAGCAGCCGCGGUAAUACGAAGGGGGCUAGCGUUGCUCGGAAUUACUGGGCGUAAAGGGAGCGUAGGCGGACAUUUAAGUCAGGGGUGAAAUCCCGAGGCUCAACCUCGGAACUGCCUUUGAUACUGGGUGUCUUGAGUACGGGAGAGGUGAGUGGAACUCCGAGUGUAGAGGUGAAAUUCGUAGAUAUUCGGAAGAACACCAGUGGCGAAGGCGACUCACUGGCCCGUUACUGACGCUGAGGCGCGAAAGCGUGGGGAGCAAACAGGAUUAGAAACCCGAGUAGUCC
rnacentral:rRNA from 1 species